AUACGGAGGAUGCGAGCGUUAUCCGGAUUUAUUGGGUUUAAAGGGAGCGUAGGUGGGAUAUUAAGUCAGCUGUGAAAGUUUGGGGCUCAACCUUAAAAUUGCAGUUGAUACUGGUUUCCUUGAGUACGGUACAGGUGGGCGGAAUUCGUGGUGUAGCGGUGAAAUGCUUAGAUAUCACGAAGAACUCCGAUCGCGAAGGCAGCUCACCGGGCCGGAACUGACACUGAUGCUCGAAAGUGCGGGUAUCAAACAGGAUUAGAUACCCUGGUAGUCCGCACAGUAAACGUUGAAUACUCGCUGUUUGCGAUACACGGUAAGCAGCCAAGCGAAAGCGUUAAGUAUUCCACCUGGGGAGUACGCCGGCAACGGUGAAACUCAAAUGAAUUGGCGGGG
rnacentral:rRNA from 1 species